AUUGAACGCUGGCGGCAUGCUUUACACAUGCAAGUCGAACGGCAGCGCGGGCUUCGGCCUGGCGGCGAGUGGCGAACGGGUGAGUAAUGCAUCGGAACGUGCCCAGUAGUGGGGGAUAGCGCGGCGAAAGCCGGAUUAAUUCCGAAUACGACCUGAGGGUGAAAGCGGGGGUCAGAAAGGGAUCGAGCUAUUGGAGCGGCCGUUGUCGGAUUAGCUAGUUGGUGGGGUAAAGGCUUACCAAGGCGACGAUCCGUAGCUGGUCUGAGGGGACGACCAGCUACACUGGGACUGGGACACGGCCCAGACUCCUACGGGAGGCAGCAUUGGGGAAUUUUGGACAAGGGGGGCAGCCCUGAUCCAGCCAUCCCGCGUGCUGGUAGAAGGCCUUCGGUUUUAAAACCGCUUUUGUUCGGGAAGAAAUCCUCUUUGCUAAUACCCCGAGGGGAUGACGGUACCGGAAGAAUAAGCACCGGCUAACUACGUG
rnacentral:rRNA from 1 species